GACAAGCCCUCCAUAAGGUGCAGCCAUGUCUUCGGAUUCUGAGAUGGCCAUCUUUGGGGAGGCCGCUCCUUACCUCCGAAAGUCAGAGAAGGAGAGAAUUGCGGCCCAGAACAAACCUUUUGAUGCCAAGUCAUCUGUCUUUGUGGUUCAUGCAAAGGAAUCCUUUGUGAAAGGGACAGUCACAAGCAGAGAAUCAGGCAAAGUCACUGUCAAGACUGAAGGGGGAGAGACCCUGACUGUGAAGGAUGACCAGAUCUUCUCCAUGAACCCUCCCAAGUAUGACAAGAUCGAGGACAUGGCCAUGAUGACCCACCUCCACGAACCCGCUGUGCUGUACAACCUCAAAGAGCGUUACGCAGCCUGGAUGAUCUACACCUACUCGGGUCUCUUCUGCGUCACUGUCAACCCCUACAAGUGGCUGCCGGUGUACAACCCCGAGGUGGUGUUGGCCUACCGAGGCAAGAAGCGCCAGGAGGCUCCUCCACACAUCUUCUCCAUCUCUGACAACGCCUAUCAGUUCAUGCUGACUGAUCGGGAGAACCAGUCCAUCCUGAUCACCGGAGAAUCCGGUGCUGGGAAGACUGUGAACACAAAGCGUGUCAUCCAGUACUUUGCAACAAUUGCAGCCAGUGGGGACAAGAAGAAGGAGGAGCAGACAUCAGGCAAAAUGCAGGGAACGCUUGAGGAUCAAAUCAUCAGCGCCAACCCACUGCUGGAGGCCUUUGGAAACGCCAAGACCGUGAGGAACGACAAUUCCUCACGCUUUGGCAAAUUUAUCAGAAUCCAUUUUGGUGCCACAGGAAAACUGGCUUCUGCUGAUAUUGAAACAUAUCUGCUGGAGAAGUCCAGAGUCACUUUCCAGCUCAAAGCGGAAAGGAGCUACCACAUCUUUUAUCAGAUCAUGUCCAACAAGAAGCCAGAGCUAAUUGACAUGCUCCUCAUCACCACCAACCCAUAUGACUACCAAUUUGUGAGUCAAGGCGAGAUCACUGUCGCCAGCAUUAAUGACCAGGAGGAGCUGAUGGCCACAGACAGUGCCAUUGACAUCCUGGGUUUCAGUGCUGAUGAGAAAACAGCCAUCUACAAGCUGACAGGGGCUGUCAUGCACUACGGGAACCUGAAGUUCAAGCAGAAACAACGAGAGGAGCAGGCAGAGCCUGAUGGCACUGAAGUUGCUGACAAGGCUGCCUACCUGAUGGGUCUGAACUCAGCAGAUCUGCUCAAGGCCCUCUGCUACCCCCGCGUCAAGGUGGGGAAUGAAUACGUGACCAAGGGCCAAACUGUGCAGCAGGUGUACAAUUCAGUGGGUGCCCUGGCAAAGGCUGUCUAUGAGAAGAUGUUCCUGUGGAUGGUUGUUCGCAUCAAUGAACAGCUGGACACGAAGCAGCCCAGGCAGUACUUCAUUGGUGUCCUGGACAUAGCUGGCUUUGAGAUCUUUGAUUUCAACAGCCUGGAGCAGCUGUGCAUCAACUUCACCAAUGAGAAACUGCAACAGUUCUUCAACCACCACAUGUUCGUCAGUUCUUCAACCACCACAUGUUCGUGCUGGAGCAGGAGGAGUACAAGAAGGAGGGGAUUGAAUGGACAUUCAUUGACUUUGGCAUGGACCUGGCUGCCUGCAUUGAGCUCAUUGAGAAGCCCAUGGGCAUCUUCUCCAUCCUGGAAGAGGAGUGCAUGUUCCCCAAGGCAACUGACACCUCUUUCAAGAACAAGCUCUAUGACCAGCACCUGGGCAAGUCCAGCAACUUCCAGAAGCCCAAGCCUGCCAAAGGCAAGGCUGAAGCUCACUUCUCCCUGGGACUACAACAUCACUGGCUGGCUGGAGAAGAACAAGGACCCUCUGAAUGAAACUGUCAUUGGGCUGUACCAGAAAUCAUCUGUGAAGACCCUGGCUUUACUUUUUGCUUCUUAUGGUGGAGCAGAAGCAGAGGCCAGUGGUGGUGGUGGUGGUGGCAAGAAGGGAGGCAAGAAGAAGGGUUCUUCUUUCCAGACUGUCUCAGCUCUUUUCCGGGAGAACCUCAACAAGCUGAUGACCAAUCUGCGGAGCACUCACCCCCAUUUUGUGCGCUGUAUCAUCCCCAAUGAGACUAAAACACCUGGUGCCAUGGAGCACGAGCUGGUGCUGCACCAGCUGCGCUGUAACGGCGUGCUGGAAGGGAUCAGGAUUUGCAGGAAAGGCUUCCCCAGCAGAGUCCUCUAUGCUGACUUCAAACAGAGAUACAAGGUGCUUAAUGCCAGUGCCAUCCCCGAGGGACAGUUCAUUGACAGCAAGAAGGCUUCUGAGAAGCUCCUUGGCUCAAUCGAUGUGGACCACACCCAGUACAAAUUUGGACACACCAAGGUGUUCUUCAAAGCUGGGCUGCUGGGACUCCUGGAGGAGAUGAGGGAUGAGAAGCUGGCACAGCUCAUCACCCGCACCCAGGCCAGGUGCAGGGGUUUCCUGGCGAGGGUGGAGUACCAGAGAAUGGUGGAGCGCAGGGAGUCCAUCUUCUGCAUCCAGUACAACAUUCGUGCAUUCAUGAAUGUCAAACACUGGCCAUGGAUGAAGCUGUUCUUCAAGAUCAAGCCCUUGCUGAAGAGUGCAGAGUCUGAGAAGGAAAUGGCCAACAUGAAGGAAGAGUUUGAGAAAACCAAGGAGGAGCUUGCAAAGUCUGAGGCAAAGCGGAAGGAGCUGGAGGAGAAAAUGGUGAAACUUGUGCAGGAGAAAAAUGACCUGCAGCUCCAAGUACAGGCUGAAGCUGAUGCUUUGGCUGAUGCUGAGGAAAGGUGUGACCAGCUCAUCAAAACCAAAAUACAGCUGGAAGCCAAAGUCAAGGAGGUGACUGAAAGGGCUGAGGAGCUGACAGCCAAGAAGAGGAAACUGGAGGAUGAAUGUUCAGAGCUGAAGAAAGAUAUUGAUGACCUUGAGCUAACACUGGCCAAGGUGGAGAAGGAAAAACACGCCACAGAAAACAAGGUGAAAAACCUGACUGAGGAGAUGGCAGCCCUGGAUGAGACCAUCGCCAAGCUGACCAAAGAGAAGAAAGCCCUCCAAGAGGCCCAUCAGCAGACCCUGGAUGAUCUGCAGGCAGAGGAGGACAAAGUCAAUACUCUGACCAAAGCCAAGAUCAAGCUGGAACAGCAAGUGGAUGAUCUGGAAGGGUCCCUGGAGCAAGAGAAGAAACUGCGCAUGGACCUGGAGAGAGCAAAGAGGAAACUGGAAGGAGACCUGAAGCUGGCCCAGGACAGCAUCAUGGAUUUGGAGAAUGAUAAGCAGCAGCUGGAUGAGAAACUGAAGAAGAAAGACUUUGAAAUCAGCCAGAUCCAGAGCAAGAUUGAGGAUGAACAAGCCUUGGGCAUGCAACUUCAGAAGAAAAUCAAGGAGCUGCAGGCGCGCAUUGAGGAGCUGGAGGAGGAAAUUGAGGCAGAGCGAACCUCUCGCGCUAAAGCAGAGAAGCAUCGGGCUGACCUGUCCAGGGAGCUGGAGGAGAUCAGUGAGCGGCUGGAGGAAGCAGGAGGGGCCACAGCAGCUCAGGUGGAGAUGAACAAGAAGCGUGAGGCAGAGUUCCAGAAGAUGCGGCGGGACCUGGAAGAGGCCACGCUGCAGCACGAAGCCACGGCUGCCGCCCUGCGCAAGAAGCACGCGGACAGCACCGCUGAGCUGGGGGAGCAGAUCGACAACCUGCAACGUGUGAAGCAGAAGCUGGAGAAGGAGAAGAGUGAGAUGAAGAUGGAGAUUGAUGACUUGGCCAGCAACAUGGAAUCUGUCUCCAAAGCCAAGGCCAACCUGGAGAAGAUGUGCCGCACACUGGAAGAUCAGCUCAGUGAGCUUAAGACCAAGGAAGAAGAACAUCAGCGCAUGAUCAAUGACCUCAAUACUCAAAGAGCUCGUCUGCAGACAGAAGCAGGUGAAUAUUCACGCCAGGUAGAUGAGAAAGAUGCUCUGAUUUCUCAACUGUCAAGAGGCAAACAGGCUUUCACUCAACAGAUUGAGGAACUCAAGAGGCAUCUAGAGGAAGAAAUUAAGGCCAAGAAUGCCCUGGCCCACGCCCUGCAGUCCGCUCGCCACGACUGUGACUUGCUCCGGGAACAAUAUGAGGAGGAGCAGGAGGCCAAGGGGGAGCUGCAGAGAGCCCUGUCCAAGGCCAACAGCGAGGUGGCUCAGUGGAGAACCAAAUACGAGACAGACGCCAUUCAGCGCACAGAGGAGCUCGAGGAGGCCAAGAAGAAGCUGGCCCAGCGUCUGCAGGAUGCAGAGGAACAUGUUGAGGCUGUCAACGCCAAAUGUGCCUCCCUGGAAAAGACAAAGCAGAGGCUGCAGAAUGAAGUGGAGGACCUGAUGAUUGAUGUGGAGAGAUCCAAUGCUGCCUGUGCUGCUCUGGAUAAGAAGCAGAAGAACUUUGACAAGAUCCUGGCAGAAUGGAAGCAGAAGUAUGAGGAAACACAGGCUGAGCUGGAGGCCUCGCAGAAGGAGUCGCGCUCUCUGAGCACAGAGCUGUUCAAGAUGAAGAAUGCCUAUGAGGAGUCCUUGGACCACCUGGAAACAAUGAAGCGGGAGAACAAGAACUUGCAGCAGGAGAUUUCCGACCUCACCGAGCAGAUUGCGGAGCAAGGAAAGGCAAUUCAUGAGCUGGAGAAAGUGAAGAAGCAGAUUGAGCAGGAAAAAUCUGAAAUCCAGGCUGCUCUGGAGGAAGCUGAGGCCUCCCUGGAACAUGAGGAGGGGAAGAUCCUGCGCCUGCAGCUUGAGCUCAACCAAGUGAAGUCUGAGAUUGACAGGAAGAUAGCAGAGAAAGAUGAGGAGAUUGACCAGAUGAAGAGGAACCACCUCAGAAUUGUGGACUCCAUGCAGAGCACUCUGGAUGCUGAGAUCAGGAGCAGGAAUGAAGCCCUGAGGAGAAGAUGGAGGGAGACCUGAAUGAGAUGGAGAUCCAGCUGAGCCAUGCCAACCGUGUGGCUGCAGAGGCACAGAAGAACCUGAGAAAUACACAGGGAGUGCUCAAGGACACCCAGAUACACUUGGAUGAUGCUCUCAGGACACAGGAUGACCUGAAGGAGCAGGUGGCCAUGGUGGAGCGCAGAGCAAACCUGCUGCAGGCUGAAAUUGAGGAGCUCCGGGCAGCCCUGGAGCAGACGGAGAGGUCGAGGAAAGUGGCUGAGCAGGAGCUUCUGGAUGCAAGUGAGAGAGUUCAGCUCCUCCACACCCAGAACACCAGCCUGAUCAACACCAAGAAGAAGCUGGAAACGGACAUUGCCCAGAUCCAGAGUGAAAUGGAGGAUACCAUCCAGGAAGCCCGCAAUGCUGAGGAGAAGGCCAAGAAGGCCAUCACAGAUGCGGCCAUGAUGGCAGAAGAGCUGAAGAAGGAGCAGGACACCAGUGCCCACCUGGAGAGGAUGAAGAAGAACCUGGACCAGACAGUGAAGGACCUGCAGCUUCGUCUGGAUGAGGCUGAGCAGCUGGCACUGAAGGGAGGGAAGAAGCAGAUCCAGAAGCUGGAGGCCAGGGUGCGGGAGCUGGAAGGGGAGGUUGAUGCUGAGCAGAAGCGCAGCGCUGAAGCCGUGAAGGGCGUGCGCAAGUACGAGCGGAGAGUGAAGGAACUGACCUACCAGUCUGAGGAAGACAGGAAGAAUAUUCUCAGGCUGCAGGAUCUGGUGGACAAGCUACAAAUGAAAGUGAAAUCCUACAAGAGACAAGCUGAAGAAGCUGAGGAGCUGUCCAAUGUGAACCUCUCCAAGUUCCGCAAGAUCCAGCACGAGCUGGAGGAAGCCGAGGAGCGGGCUGACAUUGCAGAGUCACAGGUCAACAAGCUCCGAGCCAAGAGCCGGGAGAUUCAUGGCAAAAAAAUAGGAGAGGAAGAGUGAGGAUGUCACAAGGCAGCAAAGUGACCUGAGGGCUGCACAAAAUGUGAACCCUCUGUCACUUUCUUCUUCAAGUGUUCAUAACCAUGUUGAUAUGUAGAGAAUAAAGACCUUAGAUUUCUUCGCAUUCA